AGACAGAGAGAAAGAGAGAGAGAGAAGAAGAGAGGAGGUGGAGGUGUUUGCGUUGUGAUUACAAUAUACUACAUUGAUUGAAAUUUAUUUCUUUUGCUUUUUGCUCUUUUCCUUCUUUU
rnacentral:ribozyme from 1 species